rnacentral:rRNA from 1 species
AUUGAACGCUGGCGGCAGGCCUAACACAUGCAAGUCGAACGAGUGGCGGACGGGUGAGUAAUGUCUGGGAAACUGCCUGAUGGAGGGGGAUAACUACUGGAAACGGUAGCUAAUACCGCAUACCAUCGGAUGUGCCCAGAUGGGCUUAGCUAGUAGGUGGGGUAACGGCUCACCUAGGCGACGAUCCCUAGCUGGUCUGAGAGGAUGACCAGCCACACUGGAACUGAGACACGGUCCAGCAUCCUACGGGAGGCAGCAGUGGGGAAUAUUGCACAAUGGGCGAAAGCCUGAUCCAGCCAUGCCGCGUGUGUGAAGAAGGUCUUAGGAUUGUAAAGCACUUUAAGUUGGGAGGCGUUACCAACAGAAUAAGCACCGGCUAACUUCGUGCCAGCAGCCGCGGUAAUUC